rnacentral:lncRNA from 1 species
CAGCCAUACAAUCGAUGGUUCCCUGCCAUUGCCUAGAUUAUAUUGACUCUGACGUUCUGGCAGCACUGCUGUCGGCGAACGCUCGAAGACGUAAGAGCUUUUGCAGCUGCUUGGCUCAACAGGAAGACGCCAAAGGAAGGACCUGGGACCUGGGACCUGGGACCAACCCCUUGUUACAACACGCGUCAGAGUCAACAAAGCAGCGGCAGCAGCAGUUGUCGUCACUUUUCUGAGGUUAUGCAUUCGAGCGUUUGUGUGUGUACGUGGGUGGCUGGGGAGUGGAAUCUGAGCGACCCUGACAAUGAGCCCCUCCCUCUAUCCACCUACCCAACGCCCUGCCCUUUCCCCCUGUUCCAUUCAUUGCGACCUCACUUGGCAUUCAUUUAAUUUAAUUUGUCGCAUCUUAAGCUGCUUCACGAGCAAGACUUCCCCAUCCCUACCGCACAUACAUACAUAGCAGGACCACACUCAUGUCUAGUCAGCCGCCACAUGUGCCGGUCACAAUGUACAUAUGUACAUAUGUACAUACAUAAAUAUGUAUGUAAGCAUUCAUAAUAAGCAAUAAUAAUAAUAAUAAUAAAGUG